CCUACGGGUGGCAGCAGUGAGGAAUAUUGGUCAAUGGGCGCGAGCCUGAACCAGCCAAGUCGCGUGAGGGAAGACGGUCCUAUGGAUUGUAAACCUCUUUUGUCGGGGAGCAAAAGACGCCACGCGUGGCGUUCCGAGAGUACCCGAAGAACAAGCAUCGGCUAACUCCGUGCCAGCAGCCGCGGUAAUACGGAGGAUGCGAGCGUUAUCCGGAUUUAUUGGGUUGAAGGGGUGCGCAGGCGGAAGAUCAAGUCAGCGGUAAAAUUGAGAGGCUCAACCUCUUCGAGCCGUUGAAACUGGUUGUCUUGAGUGAGCGAGAAGUAGGCGGAAUGCGUGGUGUAGCGGUGAAAUGCAUAGAUAUCACGCAGAACUCCGAUUGCGAAGGCAGCAUACCGGCGCGCAACUGACGCUCAUGCACGAAAGUGUGGGUAUCGAACAGGAUUAGAUACCCCGGUAGUC
rnacentral:rRNA from 1 species